rnacentral:rRNA from 1 species
GACGAAUGCUGGCGGCGUGCCUAAUACAUGCAAGUUGAGCGAUGAAGAUUGGUGCUUGCACCAAUUUGAAGAGCAGCGAACGGGUGAGUAACGCGUGGGGAAUCUGCCUUUGAGCGGGGGUCAACAUUUGGAAACGAAUGCUAAUACCGCAUAACAACUUUAAACAUAAGUUUUAAGUUUGAAAGAUGCAAUUGCAUCACUCAAAGAUGAUCCCGCGUUGUAUUAGCUAGUUGGUGAGGUAAAGGCUCACCAAGGCGAUGAUACAUAGCCGACGGGGGACGGUGAUUGGGCACAUUGGGACUGGGACAAGGCCCAAACUCCAACGGGAGGCAGCAGUAGGGAAUCUUCGGCAAUGGACGAAAGUCUGACCGAGAAACGCCGCGUGAGUGAAGAAGGUUUUCGGAUCGUAAAACUCUGUUGGUAGAGAAGAACGUUGGUGAGAGUGGAAAGCUCAUCAAGUGACGGUAACUACCCAGAAAGGGACGGCUAACUACGUGCCAGCCGCCGCCGUAA